UACGUAGGGGGCGAGCGUUGUCCGGAAUCACUGGGCGUAAAGGGCGUCUAGGCGGCUUAGUAAGCGGAAUGUGAAAGCCCAGGGCUCAACCCUGGAAAGCCGUUCCGAACUACUAGGCUUGAGUUCGGGAGAGGGCAGUGGAAUUCCCGGUGUAGCGGUGAAAUGUUUAGAUAUCGGGAGGAACACCAGUGGCGAAGGCGGCUGCCUGGACCGAUACUGACGCUGAAGCGCGAAAGCCAGGGUAGCGAACGGGAUUAGAUACC
rnacentral:rRNA from 1 species